rnacentral:rRNA from 1 species
GUGGGGAAUCUUAGACAAUGGGGGAAACCCUGAUCUAGCCAUGCCGCGUGAUCGAUGAAGGCCUUAGGGUUGUAAAGAUCUUUCAGGUGGGAAGAUAAUGACUGUACCACCAGAAGAAGCCCCGGCUAACUCCGUGCCAGCAGCCGCGGUAAUACGGAGGGGGCUAGCGUUGUUCGGAAUUACUGGGCGUAAAGCGCACGUAGGCGGAUUGGAAAGUUGGGGGUGAAAUCCCGGGGCUCAACCCCGGAACUGCCUUCAAAACUCCCAGUCUUGAGUUCGAGAGAGGUGAGUGGAAUUCCGAGUGUAGAGGUGAAAUUCGUAGAUAUUCGGAGGAACACCAGUGGCGAAGGCGGCGCACUGGCUCGAUACUGACGCUGAGGUGCGAAAGCGUGGGGAGCAAACAGGAUUAGAAACCCGGGUAGUCC